rnacentral:miRNA from 1 species
UCUCUCUCUCUCUCUCUCUCUCUCUCUCUCUCUCUAACCUACCAAAAACUAGGAGCAUGACUGAGAGAGAGAGAGAGAGAGAGAGAGAGAGAGAGAGAGAGA